GCCUCUAUAGCUCAGUCUGGUCUAGAGCACGUGACUUUUAUUCUAUAAUCGAUCCCGGGGUCGUGGGUUCGACCCCCACUAGAGGCUUCA